UACGUAGGGGGCAAGCGUUGUCCGGAUUUAUUGGGCGUAAAGAGCGUGUAGGCGGUUCGGUAGGUCCGUUGUGAAAACUCGAGGCUCAACCUCGAGACGCCGAUGGAAACCCCCGAACUAGAGUCCGGAAGAGGAGAGUGGAAUUCCCGGUGUAGCGGUGAAAUGCGCAGAUAUCGGGAAGAACACCCGUGGCUAAGGCGGCUCUCUAGUAUGGUACUGACGCUGAGACGCGAAAGCGUGGGGAGCAAACAGG
rnacentral:rRNA from 1 species